rnacentral:rRNA from 1 species
ACAUGCUCCACCGCUUGUGCGGGCCCCCGUCAAUUCAUUUGAGUUUUAACCUUGCGGCCGUACUCCCCGGGCGGUCUACUUAAUGCGUUAGCGCCGAAAGCCAAAGUCUAAAACCUCAACCUCCAAGUAGACAGCGUUUACGGCGUGGACUACCAGGGUAUCUAAUCCUGUUUGCUACCCACGCUUUCGCAUCUGAGCGUCAGUCUUUGUCCAGGGGGCCGCCUUCGCCACUGGUAUUCCUUCAGAUCUCUACGCAUUUCACCGCUACACCUGAAAUUCUACCCCCCUCUACAAGACUCUAGCCUGCCAGUUUCAAAUGCGGUUCCGAGGUUGAGCCCCGGGCUUUCACAUCUGACUUAACAAACCGCCUGCAUGCGCUUUACGCCCAGUAAUUCCGAUUAACGCUCGCACCCUCCGUAUUACCGCGGCUGCUGGCACGGAGUUAGCCGGUGCUUCUUCUGCAGCUAACGUCAAGCCGUGCACGUAUUAAGUACACGACCUUCCUCACUGCUGAAAGUGCUUUACAACCCGAAGGCCUUCUUCACACACGCGGCAUGGCUGCAUCAGGGUCUCCCCCAUUGUGCAAUAUUCCCCACUGCUGCCUCCCGUAGGAGUCUGGGCCGUGUCUCAGUCCCAGUGUGGCUGAUCAUCCUCUCAAACCAGCUAAGGAUCGUUGCCUUGGUAAGCCAUUACCUUACCAACUAGCUAAUCCUAACUGG